ACUCAAAGGAAUUGACGGGGACCCGCACAAGCAGCGGAGCAUGUGGUUUAAUUCGAAGCAACGCGAAGAACCUUACCAGGGCUUGACAUCCCUCUGCCAGGUUUUAGAGAUAAGACCGUUACUCUUUUGAGUACAGAGGUGACAGGUGGUGCAUGGUUGUCGUCAGCUCGUGUCGUGAGAUGUUGGGUUAAGUCCCGUAACGAGCGCAACCCUUGUCCUUAGUUGCCAUCACUUAGGGUGGGCACUCUAGGGAGACCGCCGGGGAUAACUCGGAGGAAGGUGGGGAUGACGUCAAAUCAUCAUGCCCCUUAUGUCCUGGGCUACACACGUGCUACAAUGGUCUGAACAAAGGGCAGCAAGAGCGCAAGCUUUAGCCAAUCCCAUAAAUCAGAUCUCAGUUCGGAUUGUGGGCUGCAACUCGCCCGCAUGAAGUCGGAGUUGCUAGUAAUCGCGAAUCAGAAUGUCGCGGUGAAUACGUUCCCGGGUCUUGUACACACCGCCCGU
rnacentral:rRNA from 1 species